ACUAAAAUAUUUACAAACUAAAACUAAAACUGAAGCGCCAUAAAAAGUAACCCCGAAGUUUCUAGAUUAAAAACCAUAAAAGAGUUGAAAACACGGUAAGAUAUUUCAUGAAAACUGUAUGUGUAUAUAUUUGCCUAUAAAAAUAUCAAAAGUUUUAUAAACUUGUAUAAAAUAAAAUAAAAAAGUGAACAAAACGAGAAUAGUCAUCGAUUGAUUUGUUUCCGGCGAUAAUAACGUAAAUCUGCUGAAUAAUUUUGUCAAUCCAUAUCCAUAUGUAUAUAAAUACCCAUAGAGACGUCUACAUAUUCACAAUAUAUAUAUAUAUAUAUAUAUAUAUAUAUAUAUAUAUAUAUAUAUAUGUACAGAAUUAGUAUAUGGUACAUAGAUGGUAGUCAUCAAUCGCAGUUCUCCCACUAUGUAUAACCUGUAAGCCCUCGGAUCAAUACAAUCAGCAAUGCUGAAAAAUAUUUACUGGCACUUUGAAUCCCACUAUUGUCGCUAAAAUUUAAUCAGUCAAUUAUUCUGUUUUAGGUAACAAGGAGCAUCAUUAUUAUUAUUGUUAUUAUUAAAAUUAUUAUUAUGAAUUUGAAGAAGAUGAAAACAAAGGAGUGAAAAUAAUGAGGAGGAAAAAGUAUGAGUAAGCCGGAGGCGAAAAAAAAGCAUCUGAGAGUUUUCUUAGUCAUCCCGUCACGUGUGUGUAGAGCUAUAGAUGGAGGUGUUAUAUUAGAAGUGGGUUGCAGAUGAGCUGAAGUUCCUUCUAUUGGGAUUGGAAUUGGGAGCGAAGAGAAGAAGACUAGACGGAGUCUGAAGGAGAAGUCGAUGAAAUGGAUGGGAGCUGCUAGCAGAGAAGCUAGAUAAAAUCGAAUGGAAGGAAAGAAGGUUUAUGGAUUAUGGAUUGGCUGUGGAUCCUACAGUAUGGCCAGAAGAGGUGAGAAGGAAAUUGAGAAUUAAGAAACAAGGAACGAAGAGUCAAGCAUGCGCAUAAGAGCAUGGGGACAUACAGGUGCUGGCAGCAGACGGCACUCGGUGAGACUAAGAUCCCUCAAUAUUAACGCGUAUGUGUCGCCGACAGGUGGCAAUGUUAACGUGUGCCCAAUUGCUCGGGUUUUAUAUUAAAAUAAAAAAACUUGAGAGGUGUCAAGGGACACCCGGAUGGAACGAAGUUCCUUUCGAUUUAUUAGUAAAGGAAUUGUAAUAAAAUUUUAUUUUAUUUAGAAAGAAGAAACGAAAAUAACCCUGAUAGCUAUCCAAUCGUAAAAGUUAACGUUAAAAUGCAAUCCAACUUAUGCACAAUCUAGUGCCGGAAAUUCACUUUAACUUUUCUCAAUAUCUUGUAGUACAAGUCUUAAUAUGAACUUUUAGUGAAGUUGGACAAAACACUUAUUGAUAUGGCAGAUUAUCAGAAUUUGUCUCUUUUUUACAUCGGUAGGUAAUUUAUCGGUAAAAAAACGAAGCACAGUAAAAAUUUUUUACCACCCCGCACGGAAAAAGUAUAUAUUCUGGAAUAUAUUCUGAAAUAUAUUCUAGAAUAUAUCCGAGAAUAUAUUCCGAAUAUAACCCGUUUUGCCCAAGGAAUAUAUUCCGGAAUAUAUGGGCAUGCACUCACUUGUAUUCCGUUUUACUCCAAAUUUUUCUCUGGUCUGUCGUCAGAUCUAUGGUCUGAUCCAUCGUAUAUAUACUGAAUAUAUUAUAUACUUUUGAAAUAUAUUCCUUGGGUAAAACGGGCUAUAUCCGGAAUAUAUUUAGAAUAUAUUCUCGGAUAUAUUCUAGAAUAUAUACUAGAAUAUAUACUUUUUCCGUGGGGGACGUACAUAAUAAAAAAAACAAUAUUAUAUAGUUCGACCGGGGAGUCGAACCCGGGUAGAUUGGUUACGAGGCAAGCUCUCUACCAGAUGAGCUAUCCGAGAUGCUUGACGCGAAUGCAACUUUAGUCACUUAUUUCUGACAUAUUAUUUCUAUAAUGUACUAGCUGACCCGGUGAGCUUUGUAUCACCUACAAUAUAUUUUGUUACACCUUUCGAUCAGCGAUUAUCAAUCUUUAAACUCUAACCUACUUCGAUAAAUGAACUUUCGGGUUUUAUAAAAAUUUUUCUAAACCAUCCCUGAACUAUAGCGAACAAAACAAAAAAAAAUUUUUGAAAA
rnacentral:lncRNA from 1 species